rnacentral:rRNA from 1 species
ACUGAGUAGUUAAAGGGCCGCGGUAUCUUGACCGUGCAAAGGUAGCAUAAUAAUUAGUUUCUUAAUUGGAAGCUUGUAUGAACGGUAGAAUGAGAAAAUCACUGUCUCUGGCCAAUUUGAGUUUGAAUUUUAUCUUUGAGUUAAAAAGCUCAAAUGUUAUUAAAAGACGAGAAGACCCUGUAGAAUUUUAUAUGCUUGAAUGUUGGGUUUUAUUGGUAUUUUUAUGUAUUUAAUAUUUAAUCAUAUUUGGUUGGGGCGAUCGAAAAAUUAGGUUAACUUUUUUUUAAUUAUUACAUUGAUUUAUGGUUUAUUGAUCCAGGGUUUCUGAUUAUAAGAUAAAAUUACCUUAGG